rnacentral:rRNA from 1 species
UACGUAGGGUGCAAGCGUUAAUCGGAAUUACUGGGCGUAAAGCGUGCGCAGGCGGUGAUGUAAGACAGGUGUGAAAUCCCCGGGCUUAACCUGGGAACUGCAUUUGUGACUGCAUCGCUGGAGUGCGGCAGAGGGGGAUGGAAUUCCGCGUGUAGCAGUGAAAUGCGUAGAUAUUGGAAAGACCACCAAUGGCGAAGGUACUCUACUGGGCCAUUACUGACACUGAGAGACGAAAGCUAGGGGAGCAAAUGGG